AAUCUUAAAGCCCUCUACCAUCACCUAUAAAUAAGUCCCAAUCCUAGAACAGUCUACGAGGCUCAUGAUGAUCACACUGACCUCUCCAGCUGGAUCCCGGGCCACAUCCUCCUCACACUUUACACGCUAGUAAACCAGAUCUGCUUUUCAUCCUCAUGAGGAAGACUCAUCUAUUGCUUUCCUGGGGCUGCCAUAACAAACUACCAGAAACUGGCUUAAAACAACAGAAAUUUAUUCUCUCACGAAGUCUGAAGUCAAGGUAUCAGGGCCAGCUCCCUCUGCAGGCCCGAGAAGAGGAUCCUUCCUUGCCUCUUCCAGCUUCUGGUCGUUCACAAUCCUUGGUGUUCCUCAGUUUUUUAAUUUGCAAAGCCACAGCAGGGCCUCCUAGGAGGGCAGAGGAGAAAGUGUUUUCCUGCCACACAUGUGUCAAAUGGGAGUAAAUGAUUUGGAGAAAAAUAAGCUGAGGGUAUCCUGAGGGCUAUAGAAGUUGCCUAAUAAGGCUUGCUUGGUGUCUUCGUAGACCUUGCAGUUGGCGGUGAAUACAGAUGAGUAACCAGAAGAUGAUACUACCUAUGUGAGCACAGGAGAAUGCACAGACUGCUGAAGAAGCACAUAGGCAUGUCGUGCAGGCGACAAAAUCGGCCAGAUCCUGGAAUGCCCUGUGCUACGAUGUCUUGCCUCCACUAACGCCCUGACCCAAGCCAAGAGGAGACAAAAAUCCGCCACUAUAUUCCCUUAACACAGCUGUUUCAAGACAAGACUCUCUUGACGAGACUUUACAAAGGGUUAUAGGAUCAGAGUGAAAUAAACACAGAGGAGCAAUGUCUAGAAUCCGUCUCGUCCAGUAUGGUAACCACCAGUCACAUAGCCCUGGUGGUUUAGAUUUGGUGCUUUCACAGCCAUGGCCAGGGUUUGUUUCCAGGUGAGGGAACCACACCACCCUCUGUUGGUUAUACUGUGGCAGCUGUGUGUUGCUGUGACGCUGAAA
rnacentral:lncRNA from 1 species